rnacentral:rRNA from 1 species
GACGGAGGAUGCAAGUGUUAUCCGGAAUCACUGGGGCGUAAAGCGUCUGUAGGUGGUUUAAAAAGUCCACUGUUAAAAAUUGAAGCUUAACUUCAAAGAUGCCGUGGAAACUUUUAAACUUGAGUAUGAUAGGGGUAGAGGGAAUUUCCAGUGGAGCGGUGAAAUGCGUAGAUAUUGGAAAGACCACCAAUGGCGAAGGCACUCUACUGGGCCAUUACUGACACUGAGAGACGAAAGCUAGGGGAGCGAAUGGG